ACAGCAGUAGCCGCGGUAAUACGAAGGGGGCUAGCGUUGCUCGGAAUUACUGGGCGUAAAGGGCGCGUAGGCGGACAGUUCAGUCGGGGGUGAAAGCCCGGGGCUCAACCUCGGAAUUGCCUUCGAUACUGGCUGUCUUGAGUAUGAGAGAGGUGUGUGGAACUCCGAGUGUAGAGGUGAAAUUCGUAGAUAUUCGGAAGAACACCAGUGGCGAAGGCGACACACUGGCUCAUUACUGACGCUGAGGCGCGAAAGCGUGGGGAGCAAACAGGAUUAGAUACCCCUGUAGUCCCUGUCUCUUAUAA
rnacentral:rRNA from 1 species